GACGAACGCUGGCGGCGUGCUUAACACAUGCAAGUCGAACGGAAAGGCCCUGCUUUUGUGGGGUGCUCGAGUUGCGAACGGGUGAGUAACACGUGAGUAACCUGCCCUUGACUUUGGGAUAACUUCAGGAAACUGGGGCUAAUACCGGAUAGGAGCUCCUGCUGCAUGGUGGGGGUUGGAAAGUUUCGGCGGUUGGUGAUGGACUCGCGGCGGAUCAGCUUGUUGGUAGGGUAGUGGCUUACCAAGGCGUCGACGGGUAGCCGGCCUGAGAGGGGGACCAGCGACACUGGGACUGAGACCCGGCCCAGACUCCGACGGGAGGCAGCAGUGGGGAAUAUUGGACAAGGGGCGAAAGCCUGAUCCAGCAAUGCCGCGUGAGUGAGGAAGGCCUUAGGGUUGUAAAGCUCUUUGACCCGGGAGGAGAAUGACAGUAACGGGAGAAUAAGCUCCGGCUAACUCCGUG
rnacentral:rRNA from 1 species